UUAAGUUGUUCCUUGUAAUUAUCUUAAUCAUCUCCAGCAACAACAAAACAACUUCUCUUCCGCAGACAAGGAUUCGCAGUACAAGCUGAUUGGUUAGU